rnacentral:rRNA from 1 species
UACGGGGGGUGCGAGCGUUGUUCGGAAUUAUUGGGCGUAAAGGGCGCGUAGGCGGUUUGUUAAGUCUGAUGUGAAAGCCCCGGGCUUACCCCGGGAAGUGCAUUGGAUACUGGCAGACUUGAGUACGGGAGAGGAGAGCGGAAUUCCUGGUGUAGGGGUGAAAUCCGCAGAUAUCAGGAAGAACACCGGUGGCGAAGGCGGCUCUCUGGACCGAUACUGACGCUGAGGCGCGAAAGCAUGGGGAGCAAACAGG